rnacentral:rRNA from 1 species
GACGAACGCUGGCGGCGUGCUUAACACAUGCAAGUCGAGCGGUAAGGCCCUUUCGGGGGUACACGAGCGGCGAACGGGUGAGUAACACGUGGGUGACCUGCCCUCAGCUCUGGGAUAAGCCCGGGAAACGUGGGUCUAAUACCGGAUAUGACUCCAUGACGCAUGUUGUGGGGUGGAAAGCCUUGUGCGGCUGAGGAUGGGCCCGCGGCCUAUCAGCUUGUUGGUGGGGUGAGGCCUACCAAGGCGACGACGGGUAGCCGGCCUGAGAGGGCGACCGGCCACACUGGGACUGAGACACGGCCCAGACUCCUACGGGAGGCAGCAGUGGGGAAUCUUGCGCAAUGGGCGAAAGCCUGACGCAGCGACGCCGCGUGAGGGAUGAC